GAGACGAUUGUCCCUUCGGGGACAUCCGAUAAAAUUGGAACGAUACAGAGAAGAUUAGCAUGGCCCCUGCGCAAGGAUGACACGCACAAAUCGAGAAAUGGUCCAAAUUUCUUUUUGAAAAUUUUCCAGAUCGAUUCUGAAACCCUCGAAUUUCUGAUUCUCGUCGUUGCAUCUCUGAUGUUCGUUUUCAAAUGGAUUUGCUGCCAUUUUCGGUGGUGUUUCAGUCAAUGGGGAAUGAGGACAUUUCAAGCUGUGUACCAUUCAAGAAGUUAGCCAAUGUUGUACUUGACGAUGAUCUGAGUGUUCUUCUCUCAGAUUGUGGUUUGGUUCUGUGAUUCAGGUAAAACAAAGGGCCUCGAUUUUGAUGUAAUUCAUUUGGUAUAAUUUUUAAAUCUACUUGUUCCCAGAGUUAUGUAUCUAUUCUAUACGUAUCACAACAUUGUGAAUGACGUGAUGCUGACAUACCAAAUUACUUAUCGGCCAAAAGAUGAUCCUGAUGGAUUCUCUAAUGGCUCAAAUGUAUGUUUUUCACAUCUUACUUAUACUCGGACUUUCUUCUUGUAAUUUUAUCAAAAGAAUUAAAGUAGAUUCCAGAUAGUAUAACUAAUAUUUGGUUGUGUGUGCAUAUUUUUAACAGAUGGCUGGCUAUUGUGACCAUUGGAUUUGUUAAGGAUGCAAAAUAUCAUGUCUGUUUCUUUCAGUAUAUAUGUUAUUUGUUCCUCCAUUUUAGAGGAUAUGGAAUGCCGCAGGAAGUGAUGGUCGUAGGGUCAUAGGUAAUUUUUUUAACUGGAAGGUUUAUUAUUUAGCAUUCUAAUGUGAAGUCUAUGCUAGUUUUUUCUGUUACUAUGGUGUCUUGGAAGCUAAUUCGUUGAGCCUGCUCAUGAUAAGCAAGAUUUAUUGGAGAUAUAAGUGUUACAAAAUCGGAUAUGCCUCAAGGCAAGACAAAAAGUCAGUAAAGGAUUUGGCAAGUCAAACAAGUCAGUAAAGAAUUCUGAAAACAGAGAAUCAUCACCAGAAUAUGAUCCUUAAGGAUCGGCCUCAUCCAUGAAAAGAACUGCCACUUCGAGCUUUAAAACUCCAGCUGCAGCUUCAAAAACUGACAGAGAGUUUAAUUACUUAGACAACUAAAAGAGGAAUCCUCAAGAAGAGACGAUUAAGAUAAAUUUAGAGCUAUGUGAUCAUCCGUCUGGUUUACCUACUGCUUGUUCCGCCAUUAAUGAAACAGCAUAAAAGAAGAUAAAUGAUGAUCAAAAGAGUGAUGAGGCCAAAAUGAAAACAGAUGCCUCUUCUUCAAGAAUUGGUGAGAGUGGUAAAACCACAGAAGGCGAGAUAAAGAAUGCAGCAGCUCCAAUGGACUGGUCGUAGAUUCUGGCCCUUUGUUUCUCAAAACCCUAAUCAACAAAUGCAUCCCCAAACACUGGAAUGUCUUAUCACUAAGGAAGAAGAAGGAGACGUUAAGAUCAGAAGAAGCCUAAGUUUUGGUGAACUGUAAAUGAAACGAUGAUUGAUGAUUGUUUUAAAAUUUUAAUCAAGAUUUCUCUUCUCAAAAGUCUAGAAGAAGGAAGAUUUUCUCUUCGUUUUAGUUUAGUGAAAUUUACCACCAAUAAAAGUUUUCUUUACUGUUGACAUUUGACAACAUAAAAA